rfam:Helianthus annuus linkage group 1, whole genome shotgun sequence.
GCAAGAAGAUCAUGUCAGGUAAGCCAAGGAGUGACUCGCCUUAUGAACCAAACAAGGUGUUACUUUCCAACACUUUGAGGCAUAAUAAGGCAAGUCAUCCUUGGCUACCAAACAAGAACUCUUCUCU